GACGAACCGUCCAAACGUUAUUCGGAAUUACUGGGCUUAAAGGGUGCGUAGGCGGCUUAUUAAGUCAGUGGUGAAAGCCUGCAGCUUAACUGCAGAACUGCCAUUGAUACUGAUGAGCUUGAAUAUACUUGAGGUUGGCGGAAUGUGUCAUGUAGCGGUGAAAUGCUUAGAUAUGACACAGAACACCGAUUGCGAAGGCAGCUAGCUAAAGUAUGAUUGACGCUGAUGCACGAAAGCGUGGGGAGCAAACAGG
rnacentral:rRNA from 1 species